ensembl:lncRNA
UGAUGAUGCAGUGGUCUGUUUCUCUCUCUCUGACUGGCGGUCGUGAUGUGCAGGAUAAACCAAGCAGCACUUCUCUUCAUUCAGCUUUUAGUGAUGUGUCAUGUCUUUGCAGAAAACCACAGGUCUACCUUUGUGUUCAGAGGAGGCUCAGUGACCCUGACUUGCAACAUAUCCAACAAAAAUGCAACACAAAUCUCCUGGACCAACGGCAGAUCUGUUUUCCAAUAUUCCGUUGUGCUGAACUGCACAUUUUCAAAUUUCUCAUUUUACAAACUGAAUAUAAAUCAUGAGUUACCUACAGAGCUAACUAUUUUUAGUGCUCAGCCUGAGGAUAAAGGACUUUAUACAUGUGCCAUAACUGGCAAAAAUGGCCUACACAGCAUUACGUGGAAUUUAACUGUGUCUGAGAAACCCACAGAAUCCAUUUCAAAGUAUUUUCUAUCCAUGCUAUCACCUGCAAUUGGAUUCAUUCUAUGUGGCAUCAUGUUGGCUGUUUUCCUCUGCAGUUGGAGCUCCAUCAACCACAGGGUCACACUGCUCAUUGGAAAAAUAACAAGCGGAGGAGUCAGUAUAUGGAGAACCUGAAUUUAAUCUAUGAUCACUUCUAAGCUGAUGAGCCAUGCAGUUACACAGAGACAUGGACAUUUUCAUUUUCAAAGCAGGAACUGCAUGAGAACACAUCAGA